GUGUUUGUGGUGUAGCGGUGACUGCAUGUCUGGCUGUGAACCAGAAGGCAGGGGUUCGACUCCCCUCGGACACC
rnacentral:tRNA from 1 species